GGCGAACGCUGGCGGCGUGCUUAACACAUGCAAGUCGAACGGAAAGGCCCUGCUUUUGUGGGGUGCUCGAGUGGCGAACGGGUGAGUAACACGUGAGUAACCUGCCCUUGACUUUGGGAUAACUUCAGGAAACUGGGGCUAAUACCGGAUAGGAGCUCCUGCUGCAUGGUGGGGGUUGGAAAGUUUCGGCGGUUGGGGAUGGACUCGCGGCUUAUCAGCUUGUUGGUGGGGUAGUGGCUUACCAAGGCUUUGACGGGUAGCCGGCCUGAGAGGGUGACCGGCCACAUUGGGACUGAGAUACGGCCCAGACUCCUACGGGAGGCAGCAGUGGGGAAUAUUGCACAAUGGGCGGAAGCCUGAUGCAGCAACGCCGCGUGCGGGAUGACGGCCUUCGGGUUGUAAACCGCUUUCGCCUGUGACGAAGCGUGAGUGACGGUAAUGGGGAAAGAAGCACCGGCUAACUACGU
rnacentral:rRNA from 1 species